UCUCAAGACAGCCUUUUUCUGUGUAGCUCUGGUUGUCCUGGAACUUGCUCUAUAGACUGGGCUGUCCUCAAACUCAGAGAUCUGCCUACUU
ensembl:miRNA